rnacentral:rRNA from 1 species
UACAGAGGGUGCGAGCGUUAAUCGGAAUUACUGGGCGUAAAGCGUGCGCAGGCGGUUUGUUAAGCGAGAUGUGAAAGCCCCGGGCUCAACCUGGGAACCGCAUUUCGAACUGGCAAACUAGAGUCUUGUAGAGGGGGGUAGAAUUCCAGGUGUAGCGGUGAAAUGCGUAGAGAUCUGGAGGAAUACCGGUGGCGAAGGCGGCCCCCUGGACAAAGACUGACGCUCAGGCACGAAAGCGUGGGGAGCAAACAGG